CGAAAUCUGGAAACUACAGUUGGAUCGAAAAAUAGACGUAUGAGAUUCGUCCACAUCAUCACGAGUAAAAAAAUUUACUCAUAGAUUCACUCUUGAGUUAAAAAUUUUACUAGAGUAAAAUUUUAACUCAUGAUAACGUGGACGAAUAUCAGAUGUCUAUUUUUUUAAUUCAAUGGUAGUUACUAAGUUUCC
rnacentral:pre_miRNA from 1 species